GAUGAACGCUAGCUACAGGCUUAACACAUGCAAGUCGAGGGGCAGCACAGUGUAACAAUACACGGGUGGCGACCGGCGCACGGGUGCGUAACACGUAUCCAAUCUGCCCGUUACUCGGGGAUAGCCUUCUGAAAGGAAGAUUAAUACCCGAUGGCAUGUAUUUCCGGCAUCGGAGACACAUUAAAGAUUUAUCGGUAACGGAUGAGGAUGCGUACGAUUAGCUAGUUGGCGGGGUAACGGCCCACCAAGGCGACGAUCGUUAGGGGUUCUGAGAGGAAGGUCCCCCACACUGGAACUGAGACACGGUCCAGACUCCUACGGGAGGCAGCAGUGAGGAAUAUUGGUCAAUGGUCGAGAGACUGAACCAGCCAAGUAGCGUGAAGGAUGACUGCCCUAUGGGUUGUAAACUUCUUUUGUUUGGGAAUAAAGUCAGGUACGUGUACCUGUUUGUAUGUACCAUUCGAAUAAGCAUCGGCUAAUUCCGUGCCAGCCGCCGCAGUAACAC
rnacentral:rRNA from 1 species